rnacentral:rRNA from 1 species
UACGUAGGGUCCGAGCGUUGUCCGGAAUUACUGGGCGUAAAGAGCUCGUAGGUGGUUUGUCGCGUUGUUCGUGAAAACUCACAGCUUAACUGUGGGCGUGCGGGCGAUACGGGCAGACUGGAGUACUGCAGGGGAGACUGGAAUUCCUGGUGUAGCGGUGGAAUGCGCAGAUAUCAGGAGGAACACCGGUGGCGAAGGCGACUCUUUGGCCUGUAACUGACGCUGAGGCGCGAAAGCGUGGGGAGCAAACAGG